ensembl:lncRNA
CUGAGUCAUCACCAUCCUCAUCUUUUUAAAAACAUGAGCAAGUCUCAGCAACACUUCAUUCACAUUAGUAAACAUUACCUAGGGAAAGAAAGAACAGGCUUCAAGAACAUGACAUCAUCAUUAAAAAUAAAUGUUUACUGAGUACCUACUCAGUGCAUAGUGCUGUUAGUCCUAGAGAUGGAGUAACCACCCGCCCUUAGGCACACCUGCACACAUAUGUACUCCCAUGUGCUAAAUCCAGAGAAGUGGCUCACACUAGAAGGAUUACUGGAAUUCCAAGGAAGGAGUAACUCUGCCCAAAGGGCCCAGGUGGUCACAAAAGGUUGCCACUCCUCAAUGCUGCAAAAUGUCUGCCAAAGGAAUGAGGCUAUAUAAUUCCUCUUGGGAUCUUGGUAAAGAGAGUCCACUGCAUUUUAUAAGCAUGGAAAGAAGUCCUGAGCUUCAUACUGACUGGGCCACCACCGAACUGAUGUCUGUGACCAGUGGAAUACCAGAGGCUAAGUAGGUUAGGCCUGGAUUGCCUCAACUAAAUACUAUGGCAGAGAAUGGAUGGCCCAGAGUGGUUAAGAGUAAUGAGGGUUCACAGUUGGAGGUGGUGGUAGAAUCAGUUCCACCCAUAUCAAGUAGUUCCUUAGAAGAGAACCACAAUGUCCACUGCAGAAAAUAAUUUGGAAAGACC